AUACGAAGGGUGCAAGCGUUAAUCGGAAUUACUGGGCGUAAAGCGCGCGUAGGCGGCCAGGUAAGUCGGAUGUGAAAGCCCCGGGCUCAACCUGGGAAUUGCAUUCGAAACUGCCUGGCUAGAGUAUGGUAGAGGGAAGCGGAAUUCCACAUGUAGCGGUGAAAUGCGUAGAUAUGUGGAGGAACACCAGUGGCGAAGGCGGCUUCCUGGACCAAUACUGACGCUGAGGUGCGAAAGCGUGGGGAGCAAACAGGAUUAGAUACCCUAGUAGUCC
rnacentral:rRNA from 1 species